rnacentral:pre_miRNA from 1 species
UGGCUUUUGAGGAAAGUAGUGGUCCGUUAGGUUGGGGAAAAAGACAUCAUCCGUUGAGGUAAAAUUAGAUUUGCUGCUUUUUACUCCCAAAAUCUUUUUACUGUGGGUAAAAAGAAUCAUCAUGGGGGUAUAAAAGGCACCAAAUUUAAAUUUAACUCAAGGGGUCUUAAUGUCGUUUUUCCCAACAGGACGGAUCACUAUUUUCCCCAAGAGCUA